rnacentral:rRNA from 1 species
UACAGAGGGUGCGAGCGUUAAUCGGAAUUACUGGGCGUAAAGCGCACGUAGUCGGCUUUGCAAGUCGGUUGUGAAAUCCCCGGGCUCAACCCUGGGAACUGCAUCCGAGACUGCAUUGCUAGAGUAUGGGAGAGGAAAGCGGAAUUUCUGGUGUAGCAGUGAAAUGCGUAGAUAUCAGAAGGAACAUCAGUGGCGAAGGCGGCUUUCUUG